AUGGGGAAGCAGUCGCUGAUCUACGCCUUCGUGGCCCGCAGCACCGUGGUGCUGGCCGAGUACACCGAGUUCACCGGCAACUUCACCACCAUUGCCUCCCAGUACCUCGGCAAGCUCCCGGCCAGCAACAACAAGUCCACCUACAACUGCGACGGCCACACCUUCAACUACCUCGUCGAGGAUGGCUUCACAUACUGUGUGGUUGCCGUUGAAUCAGUGGGGCAACAGAUACCAAUUGCUUUCUUGGUUCGGGUUAAGGAUGAUUUCAGCAAGAGAUAUGCUGGUGGGAAAGCUGCUACUGCUGCACCAAGCAGCCUCAACAGAGAGUUUAGAUCAAAACUCAAAGAGCACAUGCAGUACUGUGUGGACCACCCUGAAGAGAUAAACAAGCUUGCUAAAGUGCAAGCACAAGUUUCAGAAGUGAAAAAUUUGAUGAUGGAAAACACUGAGAAGGUUUUUGAUCGUGGGGAGAAGAUUGAGCUGCUUGUUGACAAGAUAGAGAAUCUCAGCUCACAGGUUCUUUCUGCUUCUUUAACAAAUGCAGCCAAGGAACUUGAAGCUGAAAUCAAUGAAGGUGGAAAUGCACCUAAUCAAGAUGCAGCAGUACCUUGGAUUGGCUUGCGUAAGAGGUUUCUAGCUCCUGUCCGUAAACAGGGCGCAAGAAGGACUUGUGUGUUCGAAGCCUCGAUGGUCACUACGGAGACACAUUACAAAGUCAACUAUAAUGCCAAGAGUCCUCCAGAAGAGUUUAAUUAUUGUCUCUCGUUGUCGGAUUUUAAGGUGUACACCUCUCACACUGGGAAAGUGUUAGGCGCAAAUGGUUCAGGAGGAAGCCUGGAGAAUUGCAUGGAAGUUUUGAAGGAAGUGGGUGUUCGUGGUGUCGACAUGGCUAGUGAGAAAAAGUCUGAAGAACGUUUCAAGAUUCAUGCUUAUAGAAAAUUCCGUCGCAAAGAUAUUCACGAAGUCAUGCUGCUACUGGAUCAGGGGAAAGCUCUUGCAGCGAGCUUCCCAAUAUCAGAUAACUGGAAAUCCAUGAAUGGAGUUGGUGUAUAUGAGUUUCAGGAAGAAAGGGCACUACCGCAUCUGCAUCGCAAGGGCAAGUUUAGAGGCCAUUCUGUUAUGAUUGUUGGUUAUUUUCCUGAUAGUUUGGAAGAAGACUUGGCUGCUUUGAAGAGCAAAGAUGACAUUGAAGAGCAAGCUCAACUACUUCUAAAACUAGCAGAAGUUGUGCUAGCUUUUCAGAAUAGUUACGGAGAACUGUGGGGAGAAUUAGGUGGUUUUGGUAGUAUCAAAGCCAAAUCUAUUGGCUGCUACUAUCUACCUAUCGUAUGUGUUGGUGCUGCUUAG
rnacentral:rRNA from 1 species